UGACGGACGAAUGCAAACGACCGUAAUCAGUGUGUGCUUGUGAUGUGUUGAUUUGUUGCGAAAGCGAAGCUUCUGUCUGUCAGAAAGAGAGAGGUUCUACCUGACUGAUUCCACUAGCGAUCGAGGUAUGGUAAACAAUUCGAUCACGUUUUCUCAUUUCUAGUAGCAUGUGCCAGCAGGUAAUCUCACAGCUCUUGGUGAUCAAUUUCAGAACAACAAUGAUAAAUACACGAGGGAAUUUGCCACACACGUUUGACAGUUGUGCUUAUUUUUACCCACGUGGCGUAAUUUAGAAGCUAAUCGUCUAGUGAAUCAUGAAAUAACAUUUAAGCCAAAGCGUUUAAAAUACAGCUACUGUCAUCAUCCCUACAUCGUAUUCUGACAAAAUCUUGCAUGGGAUCUAGUUACUACCAAUAUAGAUUCAAUUAAAUUUUCUCAAUGAUUUGAACCUACAGACGUGUGCAACCUUCGAAAAAAAAUGAUAAACCUGUCCGAUGGGACGAUCAGAAUUGAAAUAACAAAACAAAAC